CAGCUUGGCAUGGUCAAGACAAGUCGUUGUUUCCGUCUAUAACCAGAUUCUGAGGUGCAAUUCACUUGAGGGAGCCUACAACAAUGUUGCAAAUUGAGGUUCAGCACACCGCGUGUUUUCACAUCCUCCACAAAACGUGUCAGCAACAUCAGAGCAUCGGUAUCGAUAGUUUAUGAGAUGAUCUAACGAUUAGCCGUCGUGGAAUUGUCAUUUUCUGUGCAGGAAAACCGUACAUUUUCUAUAAAACUACCUGUUGCAGGCGCAAGAGUGAAGCCUCUGGAAAAUAUUAACUUAUAUUACAUUUUCGAAGAUAACACUUUCUGGUGCAAUUUAAAAGCGGCGAAACUUAGUUUUAAAGUCUGAGUUAACAUUUGAGAAGUGGUUGAAUAAAUGUUCACACUACGUCGAUUAUCGCAAAGGUCGUGAUUUCGGGCGGGAUUUAAAAUCUUACACAAGUUAGAAGCAAACCCUUCCACAGAACUGUACGUGAAAAGCGCGCUUAAUUCUCUUCAUUUAAAAUAAGAUUAACCGUAAGUGAUAAUUUUUUUGAGAAAUAAAUGAUUUCCGAUAAUAACAACAUGUAAAGGUUAAUACUUAAACUGUUGCCGUAAUAUUGCACCACUGACCCUUAAAAUUAUGUGAAAAAUCAUCAAAUAAGUUAUUGUCACAUUCAAUCAAUUUUGAAUUAUAGGAAGUCCCUAAUUA